CGGAAGACGUUUUCUACCAAAAAAAAUUACUUGAUCGAAAAAUCACAAGACACGUCUUUUAUUGCUAUUUUGUUUAAAUUAUUAUAGUUUUAUCGCCAAAUCUUUUGAGCCACUUUUGAGCUUUUAAGGAAUUUACAUUUUUGGGAGUUUUUUUGAUGUAAUUCGGUUAUAAAUACACGUAGAGACUUGAAACUUAGUAAUAAUAA